rnacentral:tRNA from 1 species
GUGCUCGUAGCUCAGCUGGAUAGAGUGUCUGACUACGAAUCAGAAGGUCGCAGGUUCGACUCCUGUCGGGCACACCA